rnacentral:rRNA from 1 species
AUGGCAUCGGCACUGCUGAGCAUACGGCACCUGCACCCGAGUCGGCGUAUCGGCUCGCGAGACAGUAGCUCAACAUACCGCCAAGACGAGGGACAUGGGGCCGCAGCCCAAGCCGAGCAACCUAGACACUCCGAUGAACAGGUCGCGCUUGCGGUGGACGCAGCCAAUGCGGACGCCCUGCAGUGGUGUGCUGUCCCCGAAGACGAGCAUCUCCAAAGCAAGCACACCCUUGGGUGUACGAUUCGUCGACGUACGACACCUGGUCCCGGUAGGGUCGGAGAUGGCGUAGCCGGAGGAUACGCUGUGCAGCGUCCGGCAAAAACGGAGCCACACAGCAACACGGUGAAGGACGCCAACAUGGAUGGGUCACUCUGCCCGCGCGUCGUCUCUUGCCGUAAGGUUGAGCAUGAUGUGGCGCCUCGACGGCUAUGGCACGUCGCAGACGGUGUCGUCAAGCAACGACGGUGA